AUUUAAAUAUCUUAUAGAGAGUAUAACAUUGAAGCUGUUAUUGAGAUAACUAAUUUAUCCUUAAAUA
rnacentral:tRNA from 1 species